AAAAAGAAUAGAAAAUAAAGAGUAAAAAAAUUAGAAAAAAGUAAUGAGUAAAAGAGACGGCUAGGGUUUCAUUAGGAUGAAAAUACAUAGUGACUCAUUAUCUAUAAGUCAUAUUAAAAUUGAUCCUUCAACUUCAAAAGUUUAUUUUUUUUUAUUUACUAUCGGAUAUUUCAUCGGGUCCGGGUCUGGGUCCGGAUUUGAAAACUAUUCCCGACCCUACCCAUUUAAAAGUUAGGUUCGGGUCGGGCCCAAAUCGGGUAUGGGUAUAAAAUAUCCGGACCUAUACCUGAAAUUUUAAUGGGUAAUUUUUUUUAUCCGUAUACUAUUCAUUUUUUAUCGGGUCCGGUUCGGGUCCGGUUCAGGUAUGGGAUAUCGGAUAUUUUGGACACCUUUAGUGUCAUAUAUAUAUAUA
rnacentral:lncRNA from 1 species